AUAUAUAUUCUGAGAAACUAGCCCGUCUUAAUAUUUUAUGCAAUUAUGUUUCUCAAAUAUUGCUUGAUAUUUAUUUCUUACAAGAAAACAUACUUUUUACUAGACAAAAAUACUGAUUAAAAAAUUAUUUUUGCAUUAAUGUGCCUUGAAAUUCCCUUAUGACAGAAGAUAAGACAAUUGACAUUGUAAAAAGCCCAUGUAAAGAUGGUUCUGAGCUCACACUGCUGCACAGGGAGUAAAAUUUUAAUAUGGAAUAAAAUACUAAUGUAGUAGCUAUACCACAUUCUCAUGCACUGCCUGUCUUAAUUUCUCAGAGGAGUGUGACUGCAUACGAUCAUUUUUUUUUUUACUAUCUUUUUUCCCUUCCAACACAUUUUGGCAUUUUUUUUUUUUUGAAGAGAAAUAUUCCCAGGAAUAAAAACUGUGACAACUUGCCCCAUCUCCCCUAUGUACAAUAUUACGGAUACUUGUAUUGAUUUAUUGGUCCUUUAUCUCCAUUGAUUCGUUAAGAGGAGACGGUACAGCGAUUUAUCAACGGCUCCAUCUGGGUUCAUCUGUCUGUAGUGCGUUUGUGAAGCGCCAUCCCUGCCUGCACUAAUUAGUGAAUCUGGGCACAGCCGUACAAAGAGGCCUUGGAUAGAUUCAGGGAGAGCUUCAGUAACCCAGCUCCACAAUCUGGCCUCUGUCCAGUUCUUCAAAAUUAAUUCAUGUUCCCUGAAGUAAUUACAUUAGUGUGUUUGGUCCAUGUGGAGUUUUCACAAUACACAUUUUAAUUAACGCAAUAAUUCAGAUCAAUUGUGCAAGACCUGGAUUAUUGCACCUUCAAUAAAAAGAAUGGCUGUUUUUUUUUUUUGUUUGUUUGUUUUUGUUUUUUCGGCAGGAUGCGGGAUAUUGAGUUUGAACAGCCUGCAACAAAACUAUGCUUUCAUGUGAUUACAGUAAAAACAAAGUCUGUCUGUCUGUCUAUCUAUCAUCUUCUAUCUAUCUAUCUAUCUAUCUAUCUAUCUAUCUAUCUAUCUAUCUAUCUAUCUAUCUAUCUAUCUAUCUCUGUCUGUCUGUCUGUCUGUCUGUCUAUCUAUCAUCUGUCUGUCUGUCUGUCUGUCAUUGUCUGUCUAUCCAUCCGUCCGUCGGUCCGUCCAUCCGUCAUCUAUCUAUCUAUCUAUCUAUCUAUCUAUCUAUCUGUCUGUCUGUCUAUCUUUCUAUCUUUUUCUUUAUUUAUCUAUCUAUCUAUCUCUCUAUCUCUCUCUUUUUCUAUCUAUCUAUCUGUCUGUCUGUAUAUCUAUCUAUCUAUCUAUCUAUCAUCUGCCUGCCUGUCUGUCUGUCUGUCUGUCUUUCUAUCUAUCUAUCAUCUGCCUGCCUGUCUGUCUUUCUGUCUGUCUGUCUGUCUGUCUCUGUCUGUCUACCUGUACAUCCAUCUGUCUGUCUGUCUGUCUAUCUAUCAUCUGUCUGUCUGUCUGUCUGUCUGUCUGUCUCUCUAUCUAUCUAUCUAUCUAUCUAUCUAUCUAUCUAUCUGUCUGUCUGUCUGUCUGUCUGUCUGUCUGUCUGUCUGUCUGUCUGUCUGUCUGUCUGUCUGUCUGUCUGUCUGUCUGUCUGUCUGUCUGUCUGUCUGUCUGUCUGUCUGUCUGUCUGUCUGUCUGUCUGUCUGUCUGUCUGUCUGUCUGUCUGUCUGUCUGUCUGUCUGUCUGUCUGUCUGUCUGUCUGUCUGUCUGUCUGUCUGUCUGUCUGUCUGUCUGUCUGUCUGUCUGUCUGUCUGUCUGUCUGUCUGUCUGUCUGUCUGUCUGUCUGUCUGUCUGUCUGUCUGUCUGUCUGUCUGUCUGUCUGUCUGUCUGUCUGUCUGUCUGUCUGUCUGUCUGUCUGUCUGUCUGUCUGUCUGUCUGUCUGUCUGUCUGUCUGUCUGUCUGUCUGUCUGUCUGUCUGUCUGUCUGUCUGUCUGUCUGUCUGUCUGUCUGUCUGUCUGUCUGUCUGUCUGUCUGUCUGUCUGUCUGUCUGUCUGUCUGUCUGUCCGUCUAUCUAUCUAUCUAUCUAUCUAUCUAUCUAUCUAUCUAUCUAUCUAUCUAUCUAUUGUCUUUCUGUCUGUCUUUCUGUCUGUCUGUCUAUCUAUCUAUCUAUCUAUCUAUCUAUCUAUCUAUCUAUCUAUCUAUCUAUCUAUCUAUCUGUCUGUCUGUCUAUCUAUUGUCUAUCUCUAUCAAUCUACCUGUAUCUAUUUUACAAGAGAAAUGCAGCUCACCAAAUCAUUUUCACCCUCAGUCACCUGUAGUUUAGGUCUAUUUUCACUCACCCUUGUGUUUAUCUGUGAAACAAAACAUGUCGUUUCAGAAUGAAGAGACUCCUCUCUGCUGGAUGUCCAUAACUCAGAGCAGCACACU
ensembl:lncRNA